rnacentral:rRNA from 1 species
UACGAAGGGGGCUAGCGUUGUUCGGAGUUACUGGGCGUAAAGGGCGCGUAGGCGGCCUGUUAAGUCGGGUGUGAAAGCCCGGGGCUCAACCCCGGAGGUGCACUCGGAACUGGCAGGCUCGAGUGCGGGAGAGGAUGGUGGAAUUCCCAGUGUAGAGGUGAAAUUCGUAGAUAUUGGGAAGAACACCGGUGGCGAAGGCGGCCAUCUGGACCGUUACUGACGCUGAGGCGCGAAAGCGUGGGGAG